rnacentral:rRNA from 1 species
UACGGGGGAGCAAGCGUUGUUCGGAUUUACUGGGCGUAAGGGCGCGUAGGCGGCCUCUGCAAGUCGACUGUGAAAUCUCCGGGCUUAACCCGGAAGGUCAGCCGAUACUGCAGGGCUAGAGUGCAGAAGGGGCAACUGGAAUUCUCGGUGUAGCGGUGAAAUGCGUAGAUAUCGAGAGGAACACCUGCGGCGAAGGCGACUACCUGGCCUGUUCUUGACGCUGAGGCGCGAAAGCUAGGGGAGCAAACAGG